rnacentral:rRNA from 1 species
AUUGAACGCUGGCGGCAGGCCUAACACAUGCAAGUCGAGCGGUAGCACAAGGGAGCUUGCUCCCCGGGUGACGAGCGGCGGACGGGUGAGUAAUGUCUGGGAAACUGCCUGAUGGAGGGGGAUAACUACUGGAAACGGUAGCUAAUACCGCAUAACGUCGCAAGACCAAAGUGGGGGACCUUCGGGCCUCACGCCCUCGGAUGUGCCCAGAUGGGAGUAGCGAGUAGGUGGGGGUACGGCUCACCUAGGCGCCGAUCCCUAGCUGGUCUGAGAGGAUGACCAGCCACACUGGAACUGAGACACGGUCCAGACUCCUACGGGAGGCAGCAGUGGGGAAUAUAGCACAAUGGGCGCAAGCCUGAUGCAGCCAUGCCGCGUGUGUGAAGAAGGCCUUCGGGUUGUAAAGCACUUUCAGCGAGGAGGAAGGCGUUAAGGUUAAUAACCUUGACGAUUGACGUUACUCGCAGAAGAAGCACCGGCUAACUCCNUGCCAGCCGCCGCCGUAA